rnacentral:rRNA from 1 species
UACGUAGGGUGCAAGCGUUAAUCGGAAUUACUGGGCGUAAAGCGUGCGCAGGCGGUUUUGUAAGUCUGACGUGAAAUCCCCGGGCUCAACCUGGGCAUUGCGUUGGAGACUGCAAGGCUAGAAUCUGGCAGAGGGGGGUAGAAUUCCACGUGUAGCAGUGAAAUGCGUAGAGAUGUGGAGGAACACCGAUGGCGAAGGCAGCCCCCUGGGUCAAGAUUGACGCUCAUGCACGAAAGCGUGGGGAGCAAACAGG